rnacentral:rRNA from 1 species
GACGUAGGGGGCGAGCGUUGUCCGGAUUUAUUGGGCGUAAAGCGCGCGUAGGCGGCCGUCUAAGUCGGAUGUGAAAAUCCGGGGCUCAACCCCGGACCUGCAUUCGAUACUGGGCGGCUAGAGGCAGGCAGGGGAGAGUGGAAUUCCUGGUGUAGCGGUGAAAUGCGCAGAUAUCAGGAGGAACACCGGUGGCGAAGGCGGCUCUCUGGGCCUGUCCUGACGCUCAGGCGCGAAAGCUAGGGGAGCAAACAGG